rnacentral:rRNA from 1 species
AUUGAACGCUGGCGGCAUGCCUUACACAUGCAAGUCGAACGGCAGCAUGAUCUAGCUUGCUAGAUUGAUGGCGAGUGGCGAACGGGUGAGUUAUACAUCGGAACGUUCCCUGUAGUGGGGGAUAACUAGUCGAAAGUUUAGCUAAUACCGCAUACGACCUGAGGGUGAAGGUGGGGGACCGCAAGCCCUCAUGCUAUAGGAUCGGCCGAUGUCUGAUUAGCUAGUUGGUGAGGUAAAGGCUCACCAAGGCGACGAUCAGUAGCUGGUCUGAGAGGACGAUCAGCCACACUGGAACUGAGACACGGCCCAGACUCCUACGGGAGGCAGCAGUGGGGAAUUUUGGACAAUGGGCGAAAGCCUGAUCCAGCAAUGCCGCGUGUGUGAAGAAGGCCUUCGGGUUGUAAAGCACUUUUGGCCGGAAAGAAAGGGAGCUGGUUAAUACCUGGGGUCGAUGACGGUACCGGAAGAAUAAGGACCGGCUAACUACGUG